AGAGUUUGAUCAUGGCUCAGAUUGAACGCUGGCGGAAUGCUUUACACAUGCAAGUCGAACGGCAGCACGGGAGCUUGCUCCUGGUGGCGAGUGGCGAACGGGUGAGUAAUGCGUCGGAACGUACCGAGUAAUGGGGGAUAACGCAGCGAAAGCUGUGCUAAUACCGCAUACGCCCUGAGGGGGAAAGUGGGGGAUCGCAAGACCUCACGUUAUUCGAGCGGCCGACGUCUGAUUAGCUAGUUGGUGGGGUAAAGGCUCACCAAGGCGACGAUCAGUAGCGGGUCUGAGAGGAUGAUCCGUCACACUGGAACUGAGACACGGUCCAGACUCCUACGGGAGGCAGCAGUGGGGAAUUUUGGACAAUGGGGGCAACCCUGAUCCAGCCAUUCCGCGUGAGUGAAGAAGGCCUUCGGGUUGUAAAGCUCUUUCAGCCGGAACGAAACGGUACGCACUAAUAUUGUGUGCUAAUGACGGUACCGGCAGAAGAAGCACCGGCUAACUACGUGCCAGCAGCCGCGGUAAUACGUAGGGUGCGAGCGUUAAUCGGAAUUACUGGGCGUAAAGCGUGCGCAGGCGGAUUGUUAAGCAAGAUGUGAAAUCCCCGGGCUUAACCUGGGAAUGGCAUUUUGAACUGGCAGUCUAGAGUGUGUCAGAGGGGGGUGGAAUUCCACGUGUAGCAGUGAAAUGCGUAGAUAUGUGGAGGAACACCAAUGGCGAAGGCAGCCCCCUGGGAUAACACUGACGCUCAUGUACGAAAGCGUGGGUAGCAAACAGGAUUAGAUACCCUGGUAGUCCACGCCCUAAACGAUGUCAACUGGUUGUUGGGGGAGUGAAAUCCCUUAGUAACGAAGCUAACGCGUGAAGUUGACCGCCUGGGGAGUACGGUCGCAAGAUUAAAACUCAAA
rnacentral:rRNA from 1 species